rnacentral:rRNA from 1 species
UACGGAGGGUGCGAGCGUUGUCCGGAAUCACUGGGCGUAAAGGGCGCGUAGGUGGCGCGGGAAGUCAACGGUGAAAGUUCGGGGCUCAACCCUGAAUCGGCCGUCGAUACUCCCGGGCUCGAGCACUGUAGAGGCAGAUGGAAUUCCGGGUGUAGCGGUGGAAUGCGUAGAUAUCGGGAGGAACACCAGUGGCGAAGGCGGCGACCUGGACGGACACUGACGCUGAGACGCGAAAGCGUGGGGAGCAAACAGG